rnacentral:misc_RNA from 1 species
GUUCAUUGUUUUCCGAAUCUCUUCACGACAGCGAGUUUUUGGAGGCGAGAUUGAUUUCAUAUUCUGAAACUUCUAGACCUCUCCUUACUCAGCAAGAGGGUACCUUUCUUUGCAAGUUCCGGGAGCCUCGUGGAAAACGGCUUGGCUUCUGUGAGACAGUGUUUGGCGAGUGCCAUCGGACCCUGACCCCAUCCCACAGUUCGUAUGGAACCGAAUCAGUCUUCAUGUCAUGGUUUGUGACCAGACAGCUUAUAUGAAGGUCUUGAACAGUCAUCAGCUGAGAAACCACACAGAAAAAAAAAGUAAAUUUUAAGAAUGUGUCCGGAGAGCAUUGAGGAUUGGGAUCGUUUGAUGUAGUAUUGAACCUGGGAAUCCGCAAGCCGGCGCUUUGCCCGAGAUAAUCCAAGAGCCACAAAAGUUUUUUUUCUUUUUAUUGUGCAAUAAAGUGUCUCUUCAUGAAGCAAGAAAUGAGACAUAGCAUGAAACUAUUGGUGCCAUCCUCUCAAUUUAAUCAUUUGUGCACGUCGUCAUCCACGACGACGCAUGUCCGCGCAGUAUGUCCUAGGAGUUUUCAGUGAUCGGCAGCAAGUUGGACACAAAUCUUGUUUCCUUAUCUUAUCACCUGGGUUCUAGAAUUUUGUACAGCCUUUUCAAGUCUGCAUCUGAGACAUCUCCGUGUGAA